UCUAAGUUUGAUGGCGACCGGCGCACGGGUGAGUAACACGUAUCCAACCUGCCGAUGACUCGGGGAUAGCCUUUCGAAAGAAAGAUUAAUACCCGAUAGCAUAAUGAUUCCGCAUGGUUUCAUUAUUAAAGGAUUCCGGUAAAGGAUGGGGAUGCGUUCCAUUAGGUUGUUGGUGGGGUAACGGCCCACCAAGCCUUCGAUGGAUAGGGGUUCUGAGAGGAAGGUCCCCCACAUUGGAACUGAGACACGGUCCAAACUCCUACGGGAGGCAGCAUG
rnacentral:rRNA from 1 species